rnacentral:rRNA from 1 species
AGGAGUCAGGUAGCGGAACGGCAUGGAAGGGCCGGCCGCAGCGGGUGAGAGCCCCGUACGCGAAACCCGUCUCCCCACUGUUGCGCAUCCCGAGUAGGGCCGGGCACGUGAAACCCGGUCCGAAGCCGGGGGGACCACCCUCCAAGGCUGAACACUCUCCUGUGACCGAUAGCGAACCAGUACCGUGAGGGAAAGGUGAAAAGCACCCCGAGAGGGGAGUGAAACAGUACCUGAAACCGUGCGCCCACGAUCAGUAGGAGGAGCCUGUGCGGUGUGACUGCGUGCCUUUUGUAGAAUGAUCCAGCGAGGUGCGUUGUGCGGCGAGGUUAAGUUUGGAAACGAGCCGCAGCGAAAGCGAGCCUUUAAGAUGGCGAGUGAGUCGCACGCUGCAGACGCGAAGCCGGGUGAGCUAUCCUGGGGCAGGCUGAAGCGGGGGUAAGACCCCGUGGAGGGCCGAACCCACUUCGGUUGAAAACGGAGGGGAUGACCCCAGGAUAGGGGUGAAAGGCCAAUCAAACCCGGAGAUAUCUCGUUCUCCCCGAAAUAGCUUUAGGGCUAGCGUCGCGCGUUCACCGCCGGAGGUAGAGCACCGGAUGGACGAGGGGGCUUCGCCGCCUACCGAAUCCAACCGAACUCCGAAUGCCGGCGGCCCAGAGCGCGGCAGUCAGAGCAUGUGGGCUAAGCUGUGUGCUCGAGAGGGAAACAGCCCGGACCGCCCGCUAAGGUCCCCAAGUUCCAGCCGAGUGGCAAAGGAUGUGCGUCCGCCCAGACAACCAGGAUGUUGGCUUAGAAGCAGCCAUGCAUUCAAAGAGUGCGUAACAGCUCACUGGUCGAGUGGACAUGCGCCGACAAUACACGGGGCUAAGCUGGACACCGAAGCGGCGGGAUUUUACCUAAGUAGAAUCGGUAGGGGAGCUUCCCAUGGGCGGUGAAGCCGCCGGGCGACCGGCGGUGGAGCGCAUGGGAGUGAGAAUGCUGGCAUGAGUAGCGAGAGACGAGAGAGUAACUCGUCCGCCGUGAACCCGAGGUUUCCUGGGCAAGGCUAAUCCUCCCAGGGUCAGUCGGGGGCUAAGGCGAGGCCGGGAGGCGUAGCCGACGCGCAGCAGGCAGACAUUCCUGCACCGCGCACGCGGCGCUACGACCGACGGGGCGACGGAUGGGGGUGGCUCGGCGGGGUUCUGGACGUCCCCGUGAUGGAGCGCGGCCCGCGGACCAGGGAAAUCCGGUCCGCACGAGGGCGAGGCUCCGGACGAAGCAUCUGAGCGAAGCGAGUGAGCCCGAGGUCCCUAGAAAAACCCCUAGGCAGGCGCGUGCGCGCCCGUACCGCAAACCGACACAGGUGGGUGGGUAGAACAUACCGAGGCGAUCGGGUCAACCAUGGUCAAGGAACUCGGCACAAUGGCCCCGUAACUUCGGGAGAAGGGGUGCCCGCGCGUACGUGAACGGACUUGCUCCGGGAGCGGAGGCGGGCCGCAGUGGAGAGGCCCAAGCGACUGUUUACCAAAAACACAGGACUCUGCAGAAGCCGCAAGGCGACGUAUAGGGUCUGACGCCUGCCCGGUGCCGGAAGGUCACGCGGAGGAGUUAGCGCAUCGCGCGAAGCCCCGAAGCCAAGCCCCGGUAAACGGCGGCCGUAACUAUAACGGUCCUAAGGUAGCGAAAUUCCUUGUCGGGUAAGUUCCGACCUGC